UCUGGUGGCGAGUGGCGAACGGGUGAGUAAUGUAUCGGAACGUGCCUAGUAGCGGGGGAUAACUACGCGAAAGCGUAGCUAAUACCGCAUACGCCCUACGGGGGAAAGCAGGGGAUCGCAAGACCUUGCACUAUUAGAGCGGCCGAUAUCGGAUUAGCUAGUUGGUGGGGUAACGGCUCACCAAGGCGACGAUCCGUAGCUGGUUUGAGAGGACGACCAGCCACACUGGGACUGAGACACGGCCCAGACUCCUACGGGAGGCAGCAGUGGGGAAUUUUGGACAAUGGGGGAAACCCUGAUCCAGCCAUCCCGCGUGUGCGAUGAAGGCCUUCGGGUUGUAAAGCACUUUUGGCAGGAAAGAAACGUCAUGGGCUAAUACCCCGUGAAACUGACGGUACCUGCAGAAUAAGCACCGGCUAACUACGUGCCAGCAGCCGCGGUAAUACGUAGGGUGCAAGCGUUAAUCGGAAUUACUGGGCGUAAAGCGUGCGCAGGCGGUUCGGAAAGAAAGAUGUGAAAUCCCAGAGCUUAACUUUGGA
rnacentral:rRNA from 1 species